GGGGAAUAUUGCACAAUGGGCGAAAGCCUGAUGCAGCAACGCCGCGUGUGUGAAGAAGGUCUUCGGAUUGUAAAGCACUUUAAGUUGGGAGGAAGGGCUGCUGGUUAAUACCCUGCAGUUUUGACGUUACCAACAGAAUAAGCACCGGCUAACUUCGUGCCAGCAGCCGCGGUAAUACGAAGGGUGCAAGCGUUAAUCGGAAUUACUGGGCGUAAAGCGCGUGUAGGUGGUUGGGUAAGUUGAAUGUGAAAGCCCCGGGCUCAACCUGGGAACUGCAUCCAAAACUGCCCGACUAGAGUACGGUAGAGGGUGGUGGAAUUUCCUGUGUAGCGGUGAAAUGCGUAGAUAUAGGAAGGAACACCAGUGGCGAAGGCGACCACCUGGACUGAUACUGACACUGAGGUGCGAAAGCGUGGGGAGCAAAC
rnacentral:rRNA from 1 species